CAGAGUUGAGGAUCAGAUGUCUCACCUGGUCGUCCCUGCAGCAGGGACACUGUCUGCAGACUGCAGGCCUCCUCUGGCGGGCAGAGACUCUCCUUCCUGUCUGGUUGUCCUGCGGGAGGACGGGCACUCGACCCUGCAACAACACACACUCAUGUUAGGAUGAGGCUCUAGAGUCUACAAGUACAUGCAGGAUGGACCUUUUUCAAGGCAGGGCUCUUCCUGGGUGUAUGGCCUUCCUGAAGUGGGACAGGAGACAACAAGAACAACACAACCAGUGUGAUCCACAGCGGUCAACACCUAGCACCCCAUUAUAUACACGUGAUUGCUUUGAUAUUGAAUUCAAUGAAAACACCUCUAUUAAAUAAUCCUGUGUUCUGUGA